UACGAGAGCCCCGAGCGUUAUCCGGAUUUAUUGGGCGUAAAGGGUGCGUAGGUGGUUAUGUUAGUCGUGUGUGAAAGACCCGGGCUUAACUCGGGGAACGCGCGCGAAACGGCAUUGACUUAGAGAGGAGAAGAGGUGUGCGGAACUCAUGGUGUAGGGGUGAAAUCCGUUGAUAUCAUGGGGAACACCAAAAGCGAAAGCAGCACACUGGUCUCUUUCUGACACUGAGGCACGAAAGCGUGGGGAGCAAACAGG
rnacentral:rRNA from 1 species